rnacentral:rRNA from 1 species
UACGGGGGGGGCAAGCGUUGUUCGGAAUUACUGGGCGUAAAGGGCGCGUAGGCGGCCUGCUAAGUCGGACGUGAAAUCCCUCGGCUCAACCGGGGAACUGCGUCCGAUACUGGCGAGGCUUGAAUCCGGGAGAGGGAUGUGGAAUUCCAGGUGUAGCGGUGAAAUGCGUAGAUAUCAGGAGGAACACCGGUGGCGAAGGCGGGUCUCUGGGCAACAACUGACGCUGAGGAGCGAAAGCGUGGGGAGCGAACAGG